rnacentral:sRNA from 1 species
UCACGUGUAAAGAAGAAGUGUUUGUAGAUAGAACAGUUUGUAAAGGUUUCAAAACGUGUCCAGGGUUAUGGUUGAUACUUGGCGCCCUUUUUCUACUGACCACAAGACACGUACGUGGCUGCGAUUGACAAUGAGAUGACGUCAUCGAAAUCUGUUGCUAAAACGUUGUUAUCACAGUCUGUUGUUUUACAUUGACCUCGCUUUCACUUUGGAAUAUGUUAAUUUCUUGUUUUACAUGGACCUCGCUUUCACUUUGGAAUAUGUUAAUUUCUUGUUUUUUUAUACUUUUACACCAUAUUGUAUAUGUUUGACUUCAGAUGUGAUGUAACACUGUUACUGUAACUUUUAUUGUUACGUUGAUGAUUUGGGAACGUUAUAUACAUAUAUAGCAUCUGCUCUUUCAAUUAGGCGCUACAUAAAGAAUAGGCCUAUAUGUUUCCAACAGAGCCUGCUUCAACUUUCUAAAUUUCCGGUAAUGAUUCCUCGGCAGGUGCGUUCUGGGUAUCAAAACCGGCCCUGGCAUUGCCAAACGAUCCGGCGACGAAUUGCGUGCCAUCAGUGGCGUGGCUAGGGUGGGGGAGUCCAAAUUUGAAAAUUC